rnacentral:piRNA from 1 species
UGGCUCAAUCCACAUGCAGUGCUCCAUCU